UACAGAGGUGGCAAGCGUUGUUCGGAAUUACUGGGCGUAAAGGGCGCGUAGGCGGUUCGUUAAGUCCUGUGUGAAAUCCCCCGGCUCAACUGGGGAACUGCACAGGAAACUAGCGGGCUUGAGUUCGGGAGAGGGAAGCGGAAUUCCGGGUGGAGUGGUGAAAUGCGUAGAGAUCCGGAGGAACACCGAAGGCGAAGGCAGUGUCCUGGCGAGUGACUGACGCUGAGGUGCGAAAGCCAGGGGAGCGAACGGG
rnacentral:rRNA from 1 species